rnacentral:rRNA from 1 species
AGCGGCGGACGGGUUAGUAACGCGUGGGAACGUUCCCUUCUCUAAGGAAUAGCCUCGGGAAACUGAGAGUAAUACCUUAUACGCCCUUUGGGGGAAAGAUUUAUCGGAGAAGGAUCGGCCCGCGUUAGAUUAGAUAGUUGGUGGGGUAAUGGCCUACCAAGUCUACGAUCUAUAGCUGGUUUUAGAGGAUGAUCAGCAACACUGGGACUGAGACACGGCCCAGACUCCUACGGGAGGCAGCAGUGGGGAAUCUUGGACAAUGGGCGCAAGCCUGAUCCAGCCAUGCCGCGUGAGUGAUGAAGGCCUUAGGGUCGUAAAGCUCUUUCGCCAGGGAUGAUAAUGACAGUACCUGGUAAAGAAACCCCGGCUAACUCCGUGCCAGCAGCCGCGGUAAUACGGAGGGGGUUAGCGUUGUUCGGAAUUACUGGGCGUAAAGCGCACGUAGGCGGAUCAGAAAGUAAGAGGUGAAAUCCCAGGGCUCAACCCUGGAACUGCCUUUUAAACUCCUGGUCUAGAGUUCGAGAGAGGUGAGUGGAAUUCCGAGUGUAGAGGUGAAAUUCGUAGAUAUUCGGAGGAACACCAGUGGCGAAGGCGGCUCACUGGCUCGAUACUGACGCUGAGGUGCGAAAGUGUGGGGAGCAAACAGGAUUAGAUACCCUGGUAGUCCACACCGA